ACCUGCCCUCCUUUUGGUGGCAUGAAGUUCAGUCCUUUCCUAACAUAACUGCAGGAAGAAAUCUAGCAAUCAACUUCUGGUAUGCACCGUUUUUAGAUCGAGAUUACCCGUGUCCCGAGUGCCAACUAGACGUUAAUCCAAAGUAUAGACAUCUCUUGUGAUACACUCUCAAACUUCUUUGAUAUUUUCUCUACUUUCCUGAGUUGUGUCCAUACCACCUUUAACAUUAUCAUUGUCUGCAAAACAAAGAUUGGGAAAUUAAAACGAAACAUCUUU